UACGAGGGGGGCAAAUGUUGUUCGGAAUCACUGGGCGUAAAGCGCGCGUAGGUGGCUUCGUAAGUCCGCUGUGAAAGUCGGGGGCUCAACCCUCGAAUGCCGGUGGAUACUGUCGGGCUAGAGUGCGGAAGAGGCGAGUGGAAUUCCUGGUGUAGCGGUGAAAUGCGCAGAUAUCAGGAGGAACACCGAUUGCGAAGGCAGCUCGCUGGGACGUAACUGACGCUGAGACGCGAAAGCGUGGGGAGCAAACAGG
rnacentral:rRNA from 1 species